GUCAAGAUCACCGAGCGGUCCAAGGCGUCAGAUUUAAGCUCUGGUUCUUGAAAGAGAGCGUGGGAUCGAACCCCACUCCUGACA